AGCGAACGCUGGCGGCAGGCUUAACACAUGCAAGUCGAGCGGGCAUCUUCGGAUGUCAGCGGCAGACGGGUGAGUAACACGUGCGAACGUACCCUUCGGUUCGGAACAACUCUGGGAAACUGGAGCUAAUACCGGAUACGCCCUUAUGGGGAAAGGUUUACUGCCGAAGGAUCGGCCCGCGUCUGAUUAGCUAGUUGGUGGGGUAACGGCCUACCAAGGCGACGAUCAGUAGCUGGUCUGAGAGGAUGAUCAGCCACACUGGGACUGAGACACGGCCCAGACUCCUACGGGAGGCAGCAGUGGGGAAUAUUGGACAAUGGGCGCAAGCCUGAUCCAGCCAUGCCGCGUGAGUGAUGAAGGCCUUAGGGUUGUAAAGCUCUUUUGUCCGGGACGAUAAUGACGGUACCGGAAGAAUAAGCCCCGGCUAACUUCGUG
rnacentral:rRNA from 1 species